UGUGUGUUAGUGGAAGCGUCUGGAAAGGCGCGCGAUACAGGGUGACAGCCCCGUACACAAAAAUGCACAUGCUGUGAGCUCGAUGAGUAGGGCGGGACACGUGGUAUCCUGUCUGAAUAUGGGGGGACCAUCCUCCAAGGCUAAAUACUCCUGACUGACCGAUAGUGAACCAGUACCGUGAGGGAAAGGCGAAAAGAACCCCGGCGAGGGGAGUGAAAAAGAACCUGAAACCGUGUACGUACAAGCAGUGGGAGCACGCUUAGGCGUGUGACUGCGUACCUUUUGUAUAAUGGGUCAGCGACUUAUAUUCUGUAGCAAGGUUAACCGAAUAGGGGAGCCGAAGGGAAACCGAGUCUUAACUGGGCGUUAAGUUGCAGGGUAUAGACCCGAAACCCGGUGAUCUAGCCAUGGGCAGGUUGAAGGUUGGGUAACACUAACUGGAGGACCGAACCGACUAAUGUUGAAAAAUUAGCGGAUGACUUGUGGCUGGGGGUGAAAGGCCAAUCAAACCGGGAGAUAGCUGGUUCUCCCCGAAAGCUAUUUAGGUAGCGCCUCGUGAAUUCAUCUCCGGGGGUAGAGCACUGUUUCGGCAAGGGGGUCAUCCCGACUUACCAACCCGAUGCAAACUGCGAAUACCGGAGAAUGUUAUCACGGGAGACACACGGCGGGUGCUAACGUCCGUCGUGAAGAGGGAAACAACCCAGAC
rnacentral:rRNA from 1 species